rnacentral:miRNA from 1 species
UGUCGACGAUGCUUCUAAU